GGCGUAGGAGGCGAGCGUUGUCCGGAUUCAUUGGGCGUAAAGAGCACGCAGGCGGUUUGGCAAGUCGGACGUGAAAAUCCGGGGCUCAACCCCGGACCUGCAUCCGAAACUGCCCGACUAGAGGUAGGUAGGGGAGAUCGGAAUUCCUGGUGUAGCGGUGAAAUGCGCAGAUAUCAGGAGGAACACCGGUGGCGAAGGCGGAUCUCUGGGCCUUACCUGACGCUCAGGUGCGAAAGCUAGGGGAGCGAACAGG
rnacentral:rRNA from 1 species